GAGAGUAUAGCUCAGUGGUAGAGCACAUACUUAGCGUGCAUGAGGUCCUGGGUUCAAUCCCCAGUACCUCCU
rnacentral:tRNA from 1 species